AUUGAACGCUGGCGGAAUGCUUUACACAUGCAAGUCGAACGGCAGCACGGACUUCGGUCUGGUGGCGAGUGGCGAACGGGUGAGUAAUGUAUCGGAACGUGCCCAGUCGUGGGGGAUAACGUAGUGAAAAUUACGCUAAUACCGCAUACGAUCUAUGGAUGAAAGCGGGGGAUCGCAAGACCUCGCGCGAUUGGAGCGGCCGAUAUCAGAUUAGGUAGUUGGUGGGGUAAAGGCCCACCAAGCCAACGAUCUGUAGCUGGUCUGAGAGGACGACCAGCCAAACUGGAACUGAGACACGGUCCAGACUCCUACGGGAGGCAGCAGUGGGGAAUUUUGGACAAUGGGCGAAAGCCUGAUCCAGCCAUUCCGCGUGCAGGAUGAAGGCCCUCGGGUUGUAAACUGCUUUUGUACAGAACGAAAAGGUUUCUACUAAUACUAGGAGCUCAUGACGGUACUGUAAGAAUAAGCACCGGCUAACUACGUGCCAGCAGCCGCGGUAA
rnacentral:rRNA from 1 species